rnacentral:sRNA from 1 species
UCAAGAAUUAACAGAAAUUUUAAUAGCCAGCACAGUUCUUUCCCAUUACUUAACUUGUGAGUAUGAAAGCUAAAAUUUCUACCAGAUUUUCAAUUGCUCUUGUUUUGGUCCAAUAUGUUGGUAUUUGCAGGGAUGAAGAACCAGGAGGUCAAUUGGUUACAGAUAAGUUCCAUAUUGACUGGGAUUCCGUACUCAUUGACAUGGAUAAUGUCAUUGUAGCAAGAUUUGAUGGCAGAGGAAGUGGAUUCCAGGGUCUGAAAAUUUUGCAGGAGAUUCAUCGAAGAUUAGGUUCAGUAGAAGUAAAGGACCAAAUAACAGCUGUGAAAUUUUUGCUGAAACUGCCUUACAUUGACUCCAAAAGAUUAAGCAUUUUUGGAAAGGGUUAUGGUGGCUAUAUUGCAUCAAUGAUCUUAAAAUCAGAUGAAAAGCUUUUUAAAUGUGGAUCAGUGGUUGCACCUAUCACAGACUUGAAAUUGUAUGCCUCAGCUUUCUCUGAAAGAUACCUUGGGAUGCCAUCGAAGGAAGAAAGCACUUACCAGGCAGCCAGU